rnacentral:lncRNA from 1 species
AUGCGGAUGAAGUUGGGUCAACACAAGGGGUAAAGUCGCGGUUGGGUGGAGGCUUCCACAAUUUGUUGGAUUCCAACGAGCGGUUAGGAGCACCAUCCAACUGUCAAGUCUAAAAGAGUGAAAACAUGAAAGAUGCAUGACUACAUUUGUAUCAAUACAAGUACACACUACACUUUGCUAAUUCUUAAGAUCGAAAGACUUUUACAAAAUGCAAAAUGGAAACAACUUUUUUAGAACGGCAAAAUGCAAACAAAUAGCAACGCUCUAUCACCUCGUCCUUAAUUUGGUUACUAGACUUUAAAAAUCAUUACUAAAACCAUUAACCAACCGAAUAGUAAUACCACCAUUAUAUAGACCACUCAAAAUAUAACUUUUAUCAAAAUACCAACAAGAUUUGAAAACCGAGUGAUCAAAUUAGAAACGAACCAUAAAUGUGAAGUUAUGCCGUUGUACAUUGAAAAUUUGCCCUUCCAAAACUGUUCUUUCUCGCAAAAUAUAGUGUUUUUUUCUGACAUUUUUGCAACAAUGAUACCCUUUUUAAAUGGUAGAUGAAAGAUUGAUCGGAUUUGUAGGCUAAAUUUAAAUGGUAAAAUUAAUGAGAAAAUGGAAGUUGUAGAAAUAUUGAGUGAAUAGUGAAUUGCAUUAACCUUGAGAGCAGGGAGAGGAGCUUUUGACAAAUGGGGUUGAAUCCAGCUUCGCUCUCUGCUCAACUUUUGGUAUUGAAUUUCGUGUUGCUACAAAAUUAAAUUACUCAACGUCAGUGAAAAUCUCGGUUAAACUCGAGCGGAGCUCACAGACAAAAAGAAAAGCAUUCUGUAUCUAAUUUCAUAUUGCCACAAACCAAUCAGACAUUUUUACUUUGACAUCUAAAACUAACAAUCACAUGCUCAAUUCAAACUGCAAAAAGAACCCACAAAUUAAAUUGAACUUUUCAAUUCGCAUAUUAAUUACACAAGUUCCCAAAACCGAAACAAAAAAGUUCCAUUUAAACUAACAUAUGCUUAGCAGAGAGAAUCAACUAAAAACGCAUAAAUCGUUGUAAUAAAGCUAGCAACUUUUAUAGUGACUAAGGUUUUAAGCAACAAAGCUUUGCAAGCAUGACUCCUUCAACCUUGGUUUAAAAAAGAGAAACCUCAUCAAAUAGUUCCCAAAAAAAUCCCAAAACUUUUUUGUGAAAUAAAUCUUUUAAUAUCGAUUUAGACAUCAGACAAACGAUCACAUUUCAAGAACAAUAAACUAGCCUAACAAAUUAGAUUUUUUUUUUUUUGAACGGCCAACGAAUCCUCCAAAUGGGCUACUGGCGAAAUUCACCACAUCGGGAUACACUCGUCUCCGAACUGGGGAAAACCCUCACCUAGGACAGAAGCCCGUGAACACUCGCCCAAAGGCACGACAGUGCGGUGAGGUAAAACCCAUUCAGUUCAAGGAUCAAACUAGCGAUCGCCUCCUACUCGCCUAGUCUCCCAUUAAAGAAGAAAAAAUCAACCAGUAUUGGUGAUGGUUCCAUCUGAAAUUUGAGAAAUAAUCACAAAAAAAAAUCAACAA